rnacentral:rRNA from 1 species
UACGUAGGCGGAAAAUUAAGUCAGUAGUGAAAUCCCGCAGCUUAACUGCGGAACUGUUAUUGAUACUGGUUUUCUUGAAUGUAGUUGAGGUAGGCGGAAUGUGUAAUGUAGCGGUGAAAUGCUUAGAUAUUACACAGAACACCGAUUGCGAAGGCAGCUUACUAAGCUACGAUUGACGCUGAGGUACGAAAGCGUGGGGAGCGAACAGGAUUAGAUACCCUGGUAGUCC